rnacentral:rRNA from 1 species
AUCAGUAGCUGGUCUGAGAGGAUGAUCAGCCACACUGGGACUGAGACACGGCCCAGACUCCUACGGGAGGCAGCAGUGGGGAAUAUUGGACAAUGGGCGCAAGCCUGAUCCAGCCAUGCCGCGUGAGUGAUGAAGGCCUUAGGGUUGUAAAGCUCUUUUAUCCGGGACGAUAAUGACGGUACCGGAGGAAUAAGCCCCGGCUAACUUCGUGCCAGCAGCCGCGGUAAUACGAAGGGGGCUAGCGUUGCUCGGAAUCACUGGGCGUAAAGGGCGCGUAGGCGGCGUUUUAAGUCGGGGGUGAAAGCCUGUGGCUCAACCACAGAAUGGCCUUCGAUACUGGGACGCUUGAGUAUGGUAGAGGUUGGUGGAACUGCGAGUGUAGAGGUGAAAUUCGUAGAUAUUCGCAAGAACACCGGUGGCGAAGGCGGCCAACUGGACCAUUACUGACGCUGAGGCGCGAAAGCGUGGGGAGCAAA